AGUCCCGAUAGGGGGUGCAUCUCACGGCAGGGAUGCAGAAUCGGCACAACUCCUGUUCAAAAAGGAACUUUGGUCUACCAGUUGACUUUCGUUUUUGGUUAUACAGAGAAAUUUGAGCGAUAUGAUAAACAUCUCACUUGAAGCAUAAGGAAAAAAGGAAACAUUUGUUCUUCGAUUUCUUGCGUCGAUAAAAAGAUCAAAUAAAACACAAUAAUCAUGGACAAUCGGGUGGAUGUGCAGAAUCUGUUGGAAAAUAUCAAGUUCAUUUCUGAAGAAGCUGCGCGCAGAAUUAGUGCCAAAUAUGCCUGUAUCAGUGUCCCCUGUAACAGACUGGCAUCCUGUCCAUUGUGUUUCCUGCCUUGUCCCUCAUUCUUCCAGCAGUAUCUAUUGCUAAAGGAGUCACAGUAGAUGGUCGAUGGAUGAAAUUUGUGAUUAUUAGACCAGCUAAAGAGAUACAUAUACUGUGUUUUUUGAACUUUGAUUAUAUUUUUCCCCUUCU